GACGAACGCUGGCGGCGUGCUUAACACAUGCAAGUCGAACGGAAAGGCCCUGCUUGCAGGGUACUCGAGUGGCGAACGGGUGAGUAACACGUGGGUGAUCUGCCCUGCACUUCGGGAUAAGCCUGGGAAACUGGGUCUAAUACCGGAUAGGAGCCAUUUUUAGUGUGAUGGUUGGAAAGUUUUUUCGGUGUAGGAUGAGCUCGCGGCCUAUCAGCUUGUUGGUGGUGUAAUGGCCUACCAAGGCGGCGACGGGUAGCCGGCCUGAGAGGGUGGACGGCCACAUUGGGACUGAGAUACGACCCAGACUCCUACGGGAGGCAGCAGUGGGGAAUAUUGCACAAUGGGCGCAAGCCUGAUGCAGCGACGCCGCGUGGGGGAUGACGGCCUUCGGGUUGUAAAAUCCUUUCGCUAGGGACGAAGCUUUUUGUGACGGUACCUAGAUAAGAAGCACCGGCUAACUACGUG
rnacentral:rRNA from 1 species